rnacentral:tRNA from 1 species
GCCUAGCUGGCUCAGUGGGAAGAGCAUGUGACUCUUGAUCAUGGGGUUGUGAGUUUGAGCCCCAUAUUGGGUA